ensembl:lncRNA
GUGCCGUGGUUCUUAUGUGCCGUGGUUCUUAUGUGCCGUGGUUCCUUCCUUACUAACAGGGAGUUUUUCCUUGCCUCUGCUGCCAUUGUGCUUGCACUAAGGGGGUCCAGGCUCUGGGCUCUGUAAUGCGCCUUGAGACAAUUGUAUUGUUAAGGCGCUAUGUAAAUAAAAUUGAAUUGAAUUGAAUUUAUGGAUCUAAUUUCAACAUGUCUACAGGUUACCUGUGAUAUGGACUGUUUAACUAUUCCUGUACAUGACAGCUGUAAGGAACAGAGGAGUCUGAUGAGUUUGUUUGCCUUAUGAGAGAUUUAUUUAUGGGCUUUUUAGCCUUUAUUUGGAUAGGACAGUGAGGAGGAGUGAAGAGGUGGGGAGAGGAUGGGAGGGAAACGUCAGCAGGUCAGAAUCGAACCUGUGUCCCCGCGGGCAUUGGAGCCCGUAAAUGGGGGGCUUAUUCACUCGUGCCACAGUGCCCCCCCCCCCCCCCCCACCUUAUGAGAGAUUUAUUUUGAGUGUUAAACUGUACAUUCCACAAAGCGAAGAUCAGAAACGACAAACAGUGACUUAGGUUUCCAUUCUAUUCCUUUUCUGAACUCAUUCUGCUGUAGGUCUUAGGUGCCUGGCAUCGAGACCUUUUUGCAACUUCAACUUCCCACUCGCUUGUGAAAUGCAUCGCAGUGCGUGUUUAAGUAAUUGUGUUGGGAUGGGGGUCAUUGAUGAUUUUGAUGAGAAGAUCAGGAAAGUGAGUUCAGGGAGGAUUCCAGGAGUACACCAGGUUGUGGGGGUGUUAUAGAGGUAGUCAUGGUGAUUCCAGGAGUACACUAGAGUGUGGGGGUGUUAUAGAGGUAGUCAUGGUGAUUCCAGGAGUACACCAGGUUGGAGGGGUGUCACAGAGGUAGUCAUGGUGAUUCCAGGAGUACACUAGAGUGUGGGGGUGUUAUAGAGGUAGUCAUGGUGAUUCCAGGAGUACACUAGAGUGUGGGGGUGUUAUAGAGGUAGUCAUGGUGAUUCCAGGAGUACACUAGAGUGUGGGGGUGUUAUAGAGGUAGUCAUGGUGAUUCCAGGAGUACACCAGGUUGGAGGGGUGUCACAGAGGUAGUCAUGGUGAUUCCAGGAGUACACUAGAGUGUGGGGGUGUUAUAGAGGUAGUCAUGGUGAUUCCAGGAGUACACU